GAGAAAAAAGUAAGCUUGUAUUAUUACCAUUUCUACAGUCCAUUAACCACAUCUUACCAAAUCCAAACUAUUGUCUUUUUUUUCCUGUAGCAUUUGGCACUUUUAAUUUACCACGACCCACUUCCUAAAAAUACUUGUGUGAUGCACAUGGCACUAGAGUACCUCCAUUUUCCCUCUAUCUUUACAACCUCCCCUUGGGGCUGAUCCCACUCUUACUCUACACACUUGAUUUGUGACCAGGGAACCAGGCAAAGAAAGGGUUACUGAGGAUCUGAUCAAUAACUAACACCAUCUGUCAAAUGUUUUCCAGACAGGAAGAAACUGUGUUCUGUUUUGCAGAAAUCGCUGUCCCCGUUGUGCAGAGAAACUCACACAUCUGCAGCAAGACCCCAGCAAAAUGUUCCAGCUCCAAGUGUCCGAAAGUUACCUUAAACUCAUCAGCAUCUUAAAUUCUCCUCUGGAAGGGUCCAAGCAGCCGUUCUCAGAUCAUGCGACCUGCUACGUAUGUACCCUGAACAGGCACAGGUGUUACACAGCUGUUACAAAUAAACCUGUUAGCCUCUGCUCUCUUGUGUAUAAAGUCUCCACUUGCACUGAACUCAGAGCGACACUGCUUUGGGAAAUAGCCCAGGUGUUCUCCAUGGCUUGUGCAUCCAAUAAACCUGUUUCUUCACCUGCUUCUGCCUUGGUUGUGCUUUUCACCUCUGCACUCACCAACAAGCAAACCCAAUGACUUCAGUUUCAGACUGGGGAGAAUGCAGCCAUUUUCCUUGCACCCACCGUUAACCCUAAGCCCAUCCUCUUCCUGGUGCUCUGCUCACCAAUAAAAACACAUUGGUGAGUGACACAGGACAUGCCCUCAGGGAACUCUCAGUCCAGAAGCAGAGAAAGGCCUGGAAUGAAUCGCUAUGUGACAGCACUCUGUGAGUGGUGGGUCCAAGGCUUUAUGGGAGCAGAAAGGAGGAAGCCACAGGAGGGUUUGUGGGGGUCACCGGGGAGGAGCGGACCAGGCAGACAGCUGGGAAAUGGUGUUCUGCGCACAGGGAGGAGCAGACGCAGAAGCGCGGAAGCAAAGGAGUCAGCGCAGCACACUUGGGGCGGGCGCUGAGCUAGGAGUGGGGCACCCAGACAAACCGACCCCUCCCUCCCGUCCAGCAGCCUGCAGUCCAGUGGGGAAGGCAGAGACAUAGGAAGGGAAUUUUAACACCAAGGUCAGUGCACUGAUGACUUCUGAGUCACACGCAGGGGCACUGUGCCCAUCCAUGGGCAGUGUCCAGUACAACCUGACUGCAGUGGAGUACUCAUGGUGAAGACCAUUCAUCUUCAGAUGAGGAGUCCAGGACUAAGGGGAGCUGGGAGACCCACCUUGGCUCACCACACGCCCCAAGGGCUGGGUUCUGCACAGUUCCAGCCUUCUCCACUCCACCCCCUUCGUCUCCCAGCUGCAACUGCAUGGGGCUUCAUUUUAUUCCUCCAAUGCCCCUUGCUCUCUCACCUCCAGCCUUCUUCACACAUACUGCUUCUUUGACCCAGACUAUCACUAUUCCUCUUUCUUGAGACUAACUCCCAGACAUCAAGUCCCAGCUUAGAUAUGACUUCCUCCAGGAAGCCUUCCCUGACAUGCUGGAGUGGGAGAGCGCCCCUACUGUGGGCUCCCAGAGCACUGUGAACCUUCUUCAUUUCCCUGGAUUGGAAUUACCAAUUUCUUAGCUUCUACCACGAGACAGUGAGCUCCUUGAUGCAGGGAUCUGACUGGAAUGCUCACUGCUGGAUUCACAUCUGGCACCAGGAAUAGAGGUGCAAUAAAUAUUGGCUUCACUGAAAGACAAGCACACGCAUGAGAGAGCAUGAAGCACAGCUGCGGGGCUGUCGCCACAGACCUGCUGAUCCCGGUGGAGAGGAGAGAGGAGUCAGAGACAGAAGCAGGAAGGCAAAGGAGCCUGGCAAACACCCACCGGAAGCGAGAGGAGAGAAAUACCAGCCAGAAACAGGAAAGAGUAGGUGGAGGUGGAUGAGAAAGCUCCAACCAUGCUGGGUCACAGAAGUAAAGGAAGAAGUGUUUCCGUAAGAAGGCAGUAAUUCACAGUGAAAACAACAGGGGGUCAGAAAAUAGGAACGACUAGGCAGAACAUGCAUCAGUUUAAUCUGUUUUCAAAUCAUAAGUUUUCCAAAUCACAUGAGGGACUAAAACAGUCAAGUUGUGUACAUGGAUGGUUUACUUUGGGGUGACGAUUUGGAAGAGACAACUUCAUCCAGAUGAUUAACGAAUUCCUGGUAGCUUUUAAAAACGAGACUGACAUCUAUGUUUAAAUGACAUUGAUUGGGACACCAGAUUUUCUAUCAGCUAAUAAUCAAAACCGCCACUGCCAUCUGCUACAUGAUUUGUGUGAAUAUUAUAAUUUAAGAAGCUUGUAUUACAAUAAAAUGCAAUAUCUUACGUUAAUACAUCCACAUAAAACACACUAUCAAACACACUAUCAAAACUUUUUAGUGUUCAAAUAUUGGAAACUUUGUGUUGGUGAAAUUGUAGCAUUAUAUUCAAGAUAUCGUUUAAGAGAGACGCUAAAAAGCUAAAAUAUACCCAGAGGACACAACUGAAAAACACGCCAUGAGAAUAACGGUAGAAAAAACCUGUUAAUGGAGAGUGGGGGGCAGCUGUCACUUUUGCACACCUAGCACCCCUUGCCCAUCCUGGCACCAGCAGUCUAAUUUUUGUUUGAAUAAAGCAUUUCCUUCCUCACUCUAGACCCAUGUAACUCGGGGAGAGCCUCACCCUGGACUCCAGGAGGGGUUCAGAGCCAGAAAAACUGGUUUGGGGCAUAAGGUAGGUGAACAAUGGGUUCAGCCCACGGAUUGUGCCGGAUUGUGCCGGAACUACGACUCUCCUCCUGGGUCCUGAGCCGUUUACAGCCCUGAUGUAAAUACGGCUACCAUGUGGAAAGAGCCUGCCAUGAAGAAAGCCAACACAAAGGAAAGUCCAGCCACAUAACAACGACUGAGCCUGUCCCUGACCCUGGGCUUCCAGUUCCAAGAAUCAAUCUAUCUUUCCUGGUUCUGCUUGUGCUGGAUUGACUGGGUUUCUGUCACUUGCACUCUAAAGAAUCUCGACCCAUUAAGUUAGCCUAGAGAAGACCUGGCACUAUGUUUUUAAAAUUAAAACUCUUUUUACAUACUUCUGUGAAUAGUCUCUUUUUGAGUUGCUUGAUUGGGCAGGACGGGCAGAUGUAAUAGAAAGGCAGAUUUGGGAGCUUUAUAAUAAAAAAUUUCUCUACCAAAACUGCCUAACAAUGAAUAAAGUUUGCACCCUGUGACUGGAAACAUCCAUGGGGAAGUAGUACGAUUCUGUGAGGCUGAUGAGGUAGCAGCCCACACUGGACAGAGAGAGAAUGAAAGGUCCCAGGGACUCCAUCCUCUCCAGUUCUCAGAUUCUGAUUUCCUCCCACCCUGAAAACAUCUCUCUUGAACAUGGCUCUCCUCUCCUUCCACCUGUAGCACACUUGAGACACGGCUGUCCUUUAACAGAGACUCAGAGGAAACUCCACUGUUAUGCAGAAUGGGACUACCUGCCCCACUUUAAGCAGAUGUAUGUUCAUCCAAUUUUACGAAGGGAAGGCAACCAGCAUUUCUUUAUAAUUAAUUACACAUGAGGUUCCUUAGCUAUUUUGAUUAAUGUAAUCCUAAGCAUCUUGCAAACUAUUUUUUAUCCCCAUUCUAUGGAUGAUGAAACUGGCUCAGAGGGACGCCCACAAUUAAAUGCUGUUUUUACCACAUAAUUCUGGCUUUUUCUUCUCCUUUUUUCUUUUGGUGGCUAUUAUGCAAACUGCACUAAAUGUAAUAGUGAGUUGUUUUGUAUGAAAUUUUACACGCUGGUUUACUAAGGCAGAAUACUUAUAAAGCAAAAAGGCUCCCAGCCUAGUCCCUAACAAGUAGGAAAAUAACAGGCUUAGAAACGAUUGCUAGCAUACAUCAUUUGGCAUGAUUUAUUUAUUUUAUUAUUUAGUGGGAAAAUGGGGAAAAUACUCAUUGUUAUGGGAAGGCCCAGGACACUUUAUAAGGACAGAAGCCUGGGACUAGAGUGACAGCAACAUCAAGAACAAUGAAGAGAGGCCAUAAGCAGAGCAAGUCUAAGGGGAAGAAAGAGCUCAUCAACAGGGGGCUCCGGGGAAGGCGCCGACAGACGCUCCGGGCCCUCUGCCUGUGACAAUCUCAUUAGGCACGGCGCAUUGGAAUCAGGAGGAAAGCGAAUGCCGGAGGGUCGGGGCAUAUGCUGAAAUGCUCCACCAUCAAUAUGCGCUGAAGAACCUAUUUAAGGACACCCCUAUCGUUUUUUUUUGUUAAAGUUUGGAGGCAUUACAUAGAGAUUUUCUAAUGUUCAAAGAACAAAGCCUCUGGAGCGGGGACGUCCGGGAGCAGCAGCGAGCUCUACCUACCAUGGGGGCCACCUUUCCCAGCUCGCCUCCGCGUCCCUGACCAGCAGCUGGAGCCAGUCAAAGAUGACCCGGCUCCUUCCUGCUUCCUCGCCGGCGCGCACACACUCCAUAUUUGGUCAUCCUGGCUCCAAGUUGGGGAGCUUUCCCGGAAGGGGUCCCGGGACCCUGUCCCCCGCAGGUCACACGGUCACCCCCGCCCCGGUGCAGAGUUGGGGAGCGCAGGGCUCGGUCCCCGUUCCGGGCGGCACAGCGGACCCGGGGUGGUCUCCCGGGAAGGCCCGCGUCCCGGAAGCCUUUGUCUGGGCAACUCCCGCCUCCGUGCUCCCCGAGGCCCUUGCAAGCCAGCGCGCCGCCAGGCGAGCGCCCGAACCGGCCGCAGAAACAGACCCGGCCAGGGGCUCCGCGAGCCCCUCGGGUGCUCUCACCACCAUGCACCACCAUGCACCCCAGGCGCACCCUGGAGCGCGCAGCGCCGCGCCCAACGCCCGCGCUGCAAAAGGCGUCCCUCAACGCUUCGGGGGCUCUCCCCUCACCCCAGCCCUUCCCUGCCUAGCCUUGCUGCAUCGGCUCCCGAGCCAAGUGCAGAGCGGACACGCUGCCCCGCUUAAAAACGGUGACAUCUCUGCUCGCUUCCCGGUCUGCCCCCGGCCGGCUACGGUCACGUGAGCCGAGCGCCGAAGCCCGCCGGCGAGGGGCAGCAGGGUGCACGCCGCUCCUCGGGCGCCGUCUCCGCCCAGGUCUGGCGGUGCUGAGCUGAGCCCGCUCUGGGGACCCGGGUCCCAGCCCACGAUUCCCCUGGCUGCUGCGCCUUCGCCGGGUACCCGGGUCCAUCCUUUACACGUGGCCACAUCUUCCCCGGGGACUCGCUCACCUCUCCGCCUCCUUUUAUUUUUUGAUGAAAAACUGGGGUACGUCGGUCCGGACCUGGCUAUCUUCUCCAACGCACUGGAGAGGAAGAGGCUGAGGAAGGAAGUGACAAAGAGAAGGGCUGGAGCAGGCGCCGCCAGAAAACUGCCACUGAUGACAGCAGGAUGGUUCCAUUUGCAAAGCAAAACGCAUUCUUGAACAUCGAUUUGUCUUACUGCAGAGAAACGUUACUGGGGCCCCGUUGAGACUGCCAACUCAUCAUCCAGGCUGUGCGGAUGUCCCAUAAGCAACCUUUUGAUGUCAAGAGGCUAAGAACUCCACCCUCAGAUCAUGCUAACACAGCCAUUUUGUGAGCAUGGGUCCCAUGAAGAGGCAUGAAGUCUGACUACACUUGCACAGAUCGUCAAUUACCCGACCUCUCCUCACCUCCAGUCAUCUAUCUCCAGGCUUAAGACCACCUUGUCCUUUGCCCCGUAAAUAUCCCUGAGUCCCCAUUUUCUGGGAGGCAGAUUUGAGAUUCAUUCUCCCGUUUCCUCACUUGGCUGCCCUGUGAUUAAACCCUCUCUCUGUGGCAAUUUCGUCAUCU